rnacentral:rRNA from 1 species
AUUGAACGCUGGCGGAAUGCUUUGCACAUGCAAGUCGAACGGCAGCACGGGAGCUUGCUCCUGGUGGCGAGUGGCGAACGGGUGAGUAAUAUAUCGGAACGUAUCCAAUAAUGGGGGAUAACUAAGCGAAAGCUUGGCUAAUACCGCAUACGCCCUGAGGGGGAAAGCUAGGGAUCUUCGGACCUGGCGUUAAUGGAGCGGCCGAUAUCUGAUUAGCUAGUUGGUGAGGUAAAGGCUCACCAAGGCGACGAUCAGUAGCUGGUCUGAGAGGACGACCAGCCACACUGGAACUGAGACACGGUCCAGACUCCUACGGGAGGCAGCAGUGGGGAAUUUUGGACAAUGGGCGCAAGCCUGAUCCAGCCAUUCCGCGUGAGUGAAGAAGGCCUUCGGGUUGUAAAGCUCUUUCGCAAGGGAAGAAAGAUUACGCUCUAACAUAGCGUGAUUAUGACGGUACCUUGAUAAGAAGCACCGGCUAACUACGUGCCAGCAGCCGCCGUAACAC